rnacentral:rRNA from 1 species
AACGAACGCUGGCGGCAGGCCUAACACAUGCAAGUCGAACGAUAAGCCACCUUCGGGUGGUGGACAGUGGCAGACGGGUGAGUAACGCGUGGGAACGUGCCUUUCGGUUCGGAAUAACCCAGGGAAACUUGGGCUAAUACCGGAUAUCCCCUACGGGGGAAAGAUUUAUCGCCCCUGGACGGGCCCGCGUCCGAUUAGCUAGUUGGUGAGGUAAUGGCUCACCAAGGCGACGAUCGGUAGCUGGUCUGAGAGGACGACCAGCCACACUGGAACUGAGACACGGUCCAGACUCCUACGGGAGGCAGCAGUGGGGAAUAUUGGGCAAUGGAGGCAACUCUGACCCAGCCAUGCCGCGUGGGUGACGAAGGUCUUCGGAUUGUAAAGCCCUUUCGGCGGGGACGAUGAUGACGGUACCCGCAGAAGAAG